UAUAUUAGCAAUCGUUCUUCGCUGUGGUCCUCAAAAAAACGCCGGUCGCAGUCAUCAUAGGUGUCGAGAAAUUACCCUUUGUGACAAUCAGAAAAAUCAGUUUCUCUUCACUCUAUGGGAGGAUUUUGGAGAAAUAGAAGGACAUGAAAUUUCCUCAAAAAUGGCAACAUAGGCAGAUCUGCUUGUAAUCCUCGGAAGGAGUAUAAGAAUCUCUACUUAUCAAGGGCAAAAGAGAACAAAACAAUGUUGUUAAGUUGUCCAUCAGAUAAAACCUCCACAAGCUCAUCUACCGCUCCCAUGAUAGUCACUACUGCUGGCCAACAACUUCUCUCUAUUGCAUAAAUCUCAUCAGCGCCUUCUAUGGGAGUGUUCUGUGUUGAAGCAGAGAUGGCCAUAUUAGAUGAAUUCCAAGAAUUCUGUGUGCUUGAAUGCUCAGGCUGCAAACAGAAGAAGCGCACAAAGGAUAGAAAGGAUUUUGACUGUCCAAAAUGCAAUCGGAAAACAACCUUAGUGCCUCGUUGUAGCUUCCAACUUGAUCUUAUUGACAAUACUGCUACAACCACAGCAUCUAUCUCUGCUGAAUUAGGAGAAAAAAUACUGUCCAUGACAGCACAAGACAUAUUUGACAUAACUUGCACUAAGCGACAAUCAUUGUCUCUUACUCAUGUCCAUGAGAUG